rnacentral:rRNA from 1 species
UACGGGGGGGGCAAGCGUUGUUCGGAAUUACUGGGCGUAAAGGGCGCGUAGGCGGCCUGCUAAGUCACACGUGAAAUCCCUCAGCUUAACUGGGGAACUGCGUCUGAUACUGGAUGGCUUGAGUUUGGGAGAGGGAUGCGGAAUUCCAGGUGUAGCGGUGAAAUGCGUAGAUAUCUGGAGGAACACCGGUGGCGAAGGCGGCGUUCUGGACUGCAACUGACACUGAAAAACGAAAGCCAGGGGAGCAAACGGG